UCAAUGGAGGAUGGUUUGAACCGAAGAGGCGGUUCUUUUUACAGAGGCGCUGCUCCUUACAGAUCAAGGUAUUUUUUAUUCUCAAAGUUAGGGUUUAUGAUUCCUUUAUUAAUUCUUUUCAAAUGUUUGUAGAGAAGGACUUAGCACGAGACCCGUGGCGAGCUCCGAUUAAAAACAAUUGCGGAUUGACCCGAUCCAUUUGGAUGUGGACGGUUAGAUCACUGGCCUACGUCACCAAGUUAGGCAAUUAAGAAACGUAACCUCCUCUUUAAUUUUUAUUUUUUUUUAUAUAAAAACUGUUGACCUUGCUUAAUGAAGGCAAAGCAAUUCCUCUGGAAAAAAGCGGACGCGUUUCUGUAUUGUUGAGCUAAUAUUUUGCACGAGGGCUGUAAAAUGGAGUGAUUUAUUAAAGAUUAGAUUUUCCAAACCCAAUUACAUAAACAAGCCUGGCUGUGUUGCAAAUUUGGGCAGCUCCACUUGCUGUUUCUCCAAGCCAUGUAAGAUGUUGUUUCGGGGUUUAUUUUUAUGACAUCUGUUCCUACUGGUUUUGUAUCGGCUGGCUUUCCCGUGCAAUUGAAAUGUUAACUGUGCAUGCCAGGAAGAUUGAGUCGUGGAGUGAGAAAAAGACCGUUAAGGUUGUAUCGAAGACCCUUAAGUUCUAUGAUCUUUGCUCAUAGUGGAAGAUGUCUGUGAUUGAUCAACUCUGGGUUUGUGAAAUUGUUCUUUCAUGGGAUUUUACAAAACUGUUGUCAAUUUGUUAUUGGACUCUGGAUAUUUUAUUGUAUUUAAUAAAAGAAGAAACAAGAUAAGGUCCUUUCUUGGGUUUUUUCCCAGUGAAGAAGGAAUUAUGGUGGAUUGAUUGCUUUGAAGGCUCUGAGGAAGUACAUGCAUGCCAUUCUUGGCAAUCGAAGCCAGGAUUGGUCUGUGUUUGUUGUCGUAUGGAAUUUGGGCACAUUUCCUGCAAAAAUAAAAACUGCUGUUGAUGAUUUUUCUGUGUUUAUAUUGUUCGCAUAUUUUUGCGAUGAAGAUCUUUCCAUUUGAAAUUUAACAUUACCAUCUGAUGUGGUCAGUUUGAGUGCAGAAUUUUUCGAAGUUUCCUCUGUUGUAAUGUUCAAGCUCCAAUUUAAUCAUAUGGUGUAGGUGGCUCAAGAGAUAUAAUCAGAAGCAAAAUAUGAGAAGGAUUUCUUAGAGACUCUGGAAAGGAAAUGGAUAGAUGAAACAUGGGUCCAGUACAAAAAUCUGCAACUGCCUUCGGAAAGCUUCCUUUGAAUGACAACAGCAAAUCACUGAUGAAAGCUCAAGCUGGUGUGAAGAACAACCUUAGGAAAUUAAACAAGAGUAUCAUCAAGAGUGGUGGAAACCAUAUUGUUCAUGUGGUUCCUUUUGCACUGUUUUGUUUCUUGGUGGUUUAUCUGUGGUCCAAAAUGUCUAGAAGAUGAGGUCUAUUGAGCACCGAAGAAUCUGUUAAAGCAAUGCCCAUCCUUUGGAUGUAUCAAGAGUUAAAAUGCAGGUUCCAUUGUAAAUCUUCCCAGCAACUUCUUCAAUUUUAAUGCGACCCUUGAAAAAUUCCCUAUAAUUGUAGUUGAAUGCUAUAUUACUUUUGCAAAAAGAGAAUAUUACUGCAUAUUUUCCUCUUGUUUCUCAUGUCCAAGAACAAAGCAUUAUUUCAUCAAAUUUUCUGUUACAAUUCAACUGUGCCCUAUAAUAUAAGAUUGUAAAAUGCCAAGUGAACAAAUACACUAGCACUUGCAGGCAAUUGAGUUUGGCUGUGGCUUGUUAGUGGGACU